rnacentral:rRNA from 1 species
GUUGUAUAGUCAAGUAAUUAAGUGCAUGUGGUGGAUGCCUUGGCAGUCAGAGGCGAUGAAAGACGUGAUAGCCUGCGAAAAGCUCCGGGGAGGCGGCAAAUAUCCUUUGAUCCGGAGAUGUCUGAAUGGGGGAACCCACCUACUUUAAGGUAGGUAUUGCAACAUGAAUACAUAGUGUUGCAAGGCGAACGAGGGGAAGUGAAACAUCUCAGUACCCUUAGGAAAAGAAAUCAAUUGAGAUUCCCUCAGUAGCGGCGAGCGAACGGGGAUCAGCCCAUUAAGUUAUGUGUGUUUUAGUGGAACGCUCUGGGAAGUGCGAACGUAGAGGGUGAUAUUCCCGUACACGAAAGGGCACACAUAAUGAUGACGAGUAGGGCGAGGCACGUGAAACCUUGUCUGAAUAUGGGGGGACCAUCCUCCAAGGCUAAAUACUCCUGACUGACCGAUAGUGAACCAGUACCGUGAGGGAAAGGCGAAAAGAACCCCUGUGAGGGGAGUGAAAUAGAUCCUGAAACCGCAUGCAUACAAGCAGUGGGAGCACCUUCGUGGUGUGACUGCGUACCUUUUGUAUAAUGGGUCAGCGACUUAUAUUCAGUAGCAAGGUUAACCGUAUAGGGGAGCCGUAGAGAAAUCGAGUCUUAAUAGGGCGUUUAGUUGCUGGGUAUAGACCCGAAACCAGGCGAUCUAUCCAUGAGCAGGUUGAAGGUUGGGUAACACUAACUGGAGGACCGAACCCACUGUCGUUGAAAAGCCAGGGGAUGACUUGUGGAUAGGGGUGAAAGGCUAAUCAAGCCUGGUGAUAGCUGGUUCUCCCCGAAAGCUAUUUAGGUAGCGCCUCGGACGAAUACCAUAGGGGGUAGAGCACUGUUUCGGCUAGGGGGUCAUCCCGACUUACCAAACCGAUGCAAACUCCGAAUACCUAUGAGUACUAUCCGGGAGACAGACUGCGGGUGCUAACGUCCGUAGUCAAGAGGAAAACAAUCCAGACCGCCAGCUAAGGCCCCAAAAUCAUAGUUAAGUGGGAAACGAUGUGGGAAGGCAUAGACAGCUAGGAGGUUGGCUUAGAAGCAGCCACCCUUUAAAGAAAGCGUAAUAGCUCACUAGUCGAGUCGGCCUGCGCGGAAGAUGUAACGGGGCUAAAACUAUGUGCCGAAGCUGCGGAU